AACGGGAAGGAGAGAAAGAGCUACAAAGCAACAAUAAUCGGUUGCUGAGCAAAAUCUUACGAACCCUAGAAUGUGAUUCGGAAAUUUGAUUACGUUGAAUCGAUUCAAUGGCAAAUCCCCAACCAGUUGAUGAUCAACAUUUCCAGAAGAAAAUUAGGAAGAAUGAUAUGCAAACUCGAUUCUUUCUCUUCGUAGAUUACGUUUUCCUCAUCAUUUUCUUCUGUUUCCUCGUCUACAUUCUCUUCAAUCUGUUCACCGUCUGAUCAGAAUUCAGGUUCCAAAUGUUUGAUGAUUUACGUGACUGGGCUUCAUCAGAUUCAGAUUUCUCUGAUUCUAGGUUGCUGCAUUUUCAUCAAUGAAAGCAGUUUGUGGUUGCUUGGAAUUUGUUUGUAUUCAUACUCACCAGGUAAACCACAUCAAAAUAGAAUGUAAAUAUUAUGAUUAUGAAAUGAAACCAAAACAACACAAGACAUGAAAACAAGUGAAAAAUCGGAAGGAUGUAAGACAGCAGGACGAGUGGACCAACAUGGAUGCUUGUACCUGCAAGUUGUAGCUGCUUUUAAGGAUUAAUGCAUUUUGUCUAGAAAAUGAUGGUUUUAUAGGAUGCAUUUUUAUAGUUGGAGAUGGACAUUUAGAACUGGUUAAGGUCGGACCGGUUGGUUAGGACCAGUUAAGCCUGGACAUUUAGAGGCUU